GAUGAACGCUGGCGGCGUGCCUAAUACAUGCAAGUCGAACGCAUAGCGAAAGGUGCUUGCACCUUUCAAGUGAGUGGCGAACGCGUGAGUAACACGUGGACAACCUGCCUCAAGGCUGGGGAUAACAUUUGGAAACAGAUGCUAAUACCGAAUAAAACUUAGUGUCGCAUGACACAAAGUUAAAAGGCGCUUCGGCGUCACCUAGAGAUGGAUCCGCGGUGCAUUAGUUAGUUGGUGGGGUAAAGGCCUACCAAGACAAUGAUGCAUAGCCGAGUUGAGAGACUGAUCAGCCACAUUGGGACUGAGACACGGCCCAGACUCCUACGGGAGGCUGCAGUAGGGAAUCUUCCACAAUGGGCGAAAGCCUGAUGGAGCAACGCCGCGUGUGUGAUGAAGGCUUUCGGGUCGUAAAGCACUGUUGUAUGGGAAGAACAGCUAGAAUAGGAAAUGAUUUUAGUUUGACGGUACCAUACCAGAAAGGGACGGCUAAAUACGUG
rnacentral:rRNA from 1 species